rnacentral:rRNA from 1 species
UACAGAGGGUGCGAGCGUUGUCGAAUUAUUGGGCGUAAAGCGCUUGUAGGCGGCUUGUAAGUUCCGUGUGAAAUCCCCAGGCUUAACCUGGGAAGUGCGCGGAAAACUGGCGAGCUUGAAUGCCGGAGAGGGUCGUGGAAUUCCCGGUGUAGCGGUGAAAUGCGUAGAGAUCGGGAGGACACCAGAGGCGAAGGCGGCGACCUGG